rnacentral:misc_RNA from 1 species
GAUGAAGAACGUAGCGAAAUGCGAUACGUAAUGUGAAUUGCAGAAUUCAGUGAAUCAUCGAAUCUUUGAACGCACAUUGCGCCCGCCAGUAUUCUGGCGGGCAUGCCUGUUCGAGCGUCAUUUCAACCCUCAAGCCCCCGGGCUUGGUGUUGGGGAUCGGCGUGCCCUCGCGGCGCGCCGUCCCCUAAAUCUAGUGGCGGUCUCGCUGUAGCUUCCUCUGCGUAGUAGCAACACUCGCACUGGAUCGCAGCGCGGCCACGCCGUUAAACCCCCCACUUCUGAAAGUUUGACCUCGAAUCAGGUAGGAAUACCCGCUGAACUUAAGCAUAUCAAUAAGCGGAGGA